AAAGGAAGGACACAGAGAUGCUCCAGUGGCUGCAGCAAAAAAAAGAGACAGAGUCUGACAGCACUUAAAACUGAACAAAGCACUCAUUAAAAGGAAGCCACUAUCAUUAUGAUGAAGAUGAAGAAGCCUAUAAGCAUUGGACUCCAGCUCAGACAGGCUCCUCCACACUCCUGGGGCUUGUCUAAGGCUCUCUCUCCUUACUCUGAUCAACUGCAUCUAGCUUCUCUCACCAUAUCUAAGCACCUGUCCUGAUGGAGCUCACACUGGCCACCUACCCCUCAGCCAACAAUCUUGCAGAGAAAGGCAACUGAACUUCUUAGCCUCUCUCUGAUUCAUGUGUCCUCUCCAUCCUGUUGGCCUAAUUUCACUUCAGCCUUAAAACACUUCUGUUACGGUAAGUCUCCCCAUUACAUCCAUUUUAAGUCUCCCAAUAUCCUGAGCUCAGACUCUACUCCUUCAGCUUCCUUCCACGGCCAGCUUCCCAAAACACAGUCAUGUUAUCCCUGCUUAAAGACUUCUUGUGCGGGCCAGGGAGGUGGCUCAAUAGGUAAAUGCCACCAAAUCUAACAACUUGAGUUUGAUUCCCAGGAUCAACAUGGUAGAAAGAACCAGCUCAUACAAGCAAUCUCUCUCUCUCUCUCUCUCAGAGAGAGAGAGAGAAUAUAUAUAAUAAAAUUUUUUUAUUAACUUCACUGUGAACAACAAUAACCCCUCCUUUGAUGCAUGCCAAAGCUCUCCCCUUCUGGCUGCUUGGAUCUACUUCAAGCCCUUUGCCCUGCAAAUAAAAAAAGAGUAUCACCCGGACCCCACUCUUCAUCCAUCACUACUUAGGUCAAUAGUCAUCUCCUUCCUGAAAUUCCCCAGCUUCUCCCUGGAGAGCCUGUUAUUUCCUUUCUGCCCUUGUAUAGACACCUUGGACAAAGUUUUGUUACAGCACCACACUUUACUGAAAAUACUGCCUACCAUCUUCUGUCCAACCUCCCCCUAAGAGGAGGAGGACCCCAAAGUGUCUAAGCACUGAGCACAGUGCCUUACCAGAGAGGGACAUAAUAGUCAAAAGUUAUUGUGCCAGCCGGGCUCCGGGCAUAAGAUCAGGGCCAGCCCAUAAAAGCAGAGCUGGAGAGCUGACUCAGAGGUUAAGACAGCAAUGUGCAACCGCAAAGGCCUAAGUUCAGGCUCGAGUACCCACUAGCAAGCUCAGCACUGUGAGGGAGAAGACAGUAUUGUCGGUGUUUGCUGGCUGCUUCAAGAGGCCCAUAGUGAGACUCUGUCUCAAACAAACAAACAAAACAAACAAAGGAAUAGAGUGUUAGAGAAAGCUUCCUUCUUUGACCUCCAGGGAUGUGCACAGGGACACACACUCAGACACAUAUGUGCAGAUAUCACACCACAUUCACACAUACC
ensembl:antisense Gm15624 predicted gene 15624